rnacentral:misc_RNA from 1 species
AAAAAAUUAAUUGAAAAAUCUACAAAAUUACUAAGCAAUAGGUGUAAAGUAAGAGUAAUAAUAACAACUUAGAAGGUAAUAAUUGUUUAUAAUAAAUAGUUAUUUGAGAGUUGCAAAAAGUGGAUGGAAGAUUGAUUACGCUUUAAGUUACCAGAGUAAAAACAAUUGUAAUUUCUUAAUAAUCAUUCAGGCAACAGGACAAGAUUUCAUUAAACUCAUUAAUUCAAUCAAUUUCUCUUUAGUUUGUUAGAGAGAGGAAAUCUUCUCAGUGUCUUGCUAUUUCAUUCUCGGCAGACUCACCAAAUUCUGUUAUGGGGCCCACUGAGUUCUGUUCUAGGUGGUCCUCUCGUACCUUUGAGUAGGGGAAGACGUUUCUAGGAUUCCGUUUUUUUGGGUUUUCUAUGGUUAUUCAAGGUGGGUUAAGCUCCCUUCCAUUCCCAUCUGGCUUGUUCAAAGGUGAUUUUGUCUGUAUUCAGUAGCAGACCUCCAAUCGUGCAUAGAGAGGGUGAUCUUGUGUAGAUCUAUUUGAAGGAAGCUGCCAAUGGAAGUUUUGCUUGGCUUUGUGGCUUCUUUGCAACCCUUUGCUAAGUGGAAAAUCUGUUAAGAUCUAAUAUUAAUUUGGGAUGGAGGUAAGAUCUUGGAUAUUCAUCUCUCUUGAAUUAAUUUUUAAAGGUGAAUUAGACUUAAUUUAUUUUCUUAAAAUGUAUCAGAAUUUUUACGACUAAUAUUUAAGUCUCACCAAUCAAGUAUUUACUCCUCCAUAAUCAAGAAGGUAUUUUAAGAUUCAUAAUGAUAUGAUUUGAGAUAGGAUAAUGUGUCAUUUAUAUGACUUUGGAUACUUCUUUCUCGUUAAGUUAUCUUUUAAAAUCGAAUUAGACUCAAUUUUUUUUUUCUUUUUUAAGAA